CCUAACAAACCAGCAACUCUCUCUCUCUCUCUCUAUAUAUAUUUUCAGCGUUUCUCUCUCUCUCCGCUCCUCCUCUCCCCUCUCCUCCCCUCCCUCUCUCACCGCUACUUCUCUUCGUGUUUGCCGCCAACUGGAGCACCUCCACCUCCUCCACCACCAUUGCAAUUGUGAAGAGGGAAGACUAUAAAUGCACCAAACAUGACUCUGGUUUCUCCGAAUGGAAGCAAGUGAAGUGGCUGGUUAUGGUUAUGGUUAUGGAUUUCGUCCCCAAAAUCUAUCCUCUCAUUUCUGCUUCCCAACUAAGGUUCCAAGGUUAUCUAUGCUAGUAGAGCAUAGAAGAAAGAAGAGUGCGAGCAUAUUUUACAUCAUUAAUUUGAGGGGAAACGAAAGGAGCAAAUAAUAAAAUACUAGGGUUCAAAUGUCUAUGUCAAGAAUUUUGAUGAUGAUGUCAUUGAUGAUGAGCUGCGAGAACACUUCAGCCAGUGUAGCACGAUCACCUCUACAAAACUAAUGCGAGAUGAAAAAGGAACCAGCAAGGGGUUUGGGUUUGUCUGCUUCUCAACACCUAAGGAGGCCAAUAAAGCUGUGAACAAUUUUCAUGGUGAGUACCAUGAAUAUAUAAGCUUAUAGAUGUGAUGUGAUGUAGAUGUCGUUGAACUAAAAUGCAUUAACAUUCUUCAACUUGGUCAUGCAAAUUGGUUGAUAUGUUUUGAUCUGAAAGAAGCUAUUAUGCUAAUGUUUAAUUCUGUAUAAUGGAAUAAUAUAAAUUGCCAUUUGAAUAGUAUACGUGACUGUGGAUAAUGGAAUAGUGUAUCAUUAACACAACUAGGUUUUUGUUCCUAAUUUCGAAUUUGAUAACAAUUUAAUUUUUUUAUUUUGAAGAAGCAAGAUUCCUUGAAAGUUAGAAGAAAAUUUCUCUCUGUGUAUGAGUAGAAAAUUCCUUGAAAGUUAUGAUUUAGUGUACCCUUGUUAUGAUUUUACAAGUGAAAUGGUUGUUAGUUUAGAUCAUUAUUGGCUUUAGUUCAAUAAAUUUGUUACAAUAUGAUGCAUGUUUGUGUGAUCCACCAAUGAUGUAUUCUCAUUUACUAAAUAAUCAAUACUUGAAGAAAUCUAUUUGCAUCUUUUUUUCCAUUUCAUUUUCUGAAAAACUCAUCUAGGGGCUUUCAUGACUGGACUUUGUCCAAAUCCCAGUAUUUGAGGUUGAGAGCUUGUCAACAACAAUCCUAUACACAUUACUUCUAUGAAGUUACUGUUAGAGCUGGGCUUCCAAUCAUUAGCACUUUACAAGGUGUCCUUGAAACUUGGGACAAGAUAUUGCGGAUUGAAGGCAUUUUUAGGUUGGUCAUACUGGUUUUCUCAACUAAUAAAAACAGAAAGUUGCUGAUAUAUGAUUGAUCACUAUGGCUAACCAAGUAUCUAAGAUGUCUUUGCUUUUCUAGGAACCCAAGCAAGAACUAUAUCAAGUAAUAUACCUGUCCUAAACCAUUAUGAUUCUUUUUUCAGUCAAUCAAUUGUUUUAUAAUCAGUCACUUGGCAAGCACAUGUUUCAGAACAAGUUGUAACUACACAUUCUUCACUAGUUCAAUGCUUAAUUUGGUAGCAUUUCUCUUUUUAUUUAGUCAAAUACUUUGCUCAGAGUACAUAUCAUUCAACCAUGAAUUUUCUUUCAUGAAUUCUUACAAAGUUAGAAUACUUUUACAAAUGCUUGAAGUACAGUUGACAGUUUGAAGUCAUCACCACUAACCCAAUAGAUAUCAAGGGCCUUUCCUUGGAUUGAUGAUUAGUGGGAAUUUACACAAGUCUCAUUCACUCAUAAUGGAAAUAAGAGUACUUUUGCUCAUCUUGGUGUCAUUUGUUACUUUGGGUGUUGGUUCAUGUUUUUUAUUCGAAAUUUAUGUUCAUCUUUGUGUCACUGGAUUCCUUCUUAAUCUUUUUCCACAUUUGGAUUCUUUGCUUAAAACAAUUUUGUUAGAUGAGAAAUUAACAGGUAGAUGAGAAUGACGCAGAGUUACCUGAUUUUUGCAAAUACUAUGAGAAGUCUCACAAGUUGAACAAGACAAAUAACUGGAUUGAUUCCCGAUGCGGUGACCUACAUGUAAGAAUUUAACAAUAGAAUGAGAUGGAGACCUUUUUCUAACAUAUCCGAAGCUGCAUCAACAGCACGUGAUAAGAAGAUGGAGACCCUAAUAUGUUUUUUUAUUAAGAUUUUCAUUAAUUUGGAUUUUAAUUGUUGGUUUGGAUAGUAUAUGUAUUUGUUGGAUUAUACUAUGUUUAUGGAUUCUUAUUUUCUUUGAUAUGUACGGUUAAUAGUUAAGUUUUGUAUGUGGUUGAAAAUUGAAUGGUACAGGUUGUGGAGAACUAUUUU